GACGAACGCUGGCGGCGGGCUUAACACAUGCAAGUCGAACGGGGAACCUCUUCGGAGGGGAUCAGUGGCGAACGGGUGAGUAACACGUGGGCAACCUGCCCCCGGCUCUGGGAUAACUCCAAGAAAUUGGGGCUAAUACCGGAUGUUCACCGCUUCCCGCGGGGGUGGUGGUGGAAAGGGUUUCCGGCUGGGGAUGGGCCCGCGGCCUAUCAGCUUGUUGGUGGGGUAGGGGGCUACCAAGGCGAGGACGGGUAGCCGGCCUGAGAGGGUGGGCGGCCACACUGGACCUGGGCUGCGGCACAGACCAGACCGCGAGGCGGCGGUGGAGAAUAUUGUGCUAGGGGAGGAAGCCUGACGUAGUGUCGCCGCGUCGGGGAUGACGGCCUUCGGGUAGUAAAGCACUUCCAGCUCGGACGAAGCGAAAGUGACGGUACCUGCAGAAGAAGCCCCGGCCAACUCCGUG
rnacentral:rRNA from 1 species